rnacentral:rRNA from 1 species
UCGAGGGGCAGCAUGGCGGUGGCAACACCGCCGAUGGCGACCGGCGCACUGGUGAGUAACACGUAUGCAACCUGCCCCGGGCAGGGGGAUAAUCCGGAGAAAUCUGGUCUAAUACCCCGUACGCCCCCUUACCGCAUGGGGAGGGGGUGAAAGGAGCGAUCCGGCACGGGAUGGGCAUGCGGCGCAUUAGCUAGUUGGCGGGGCGACGGCCCACCAAGGCGACGAUGCGUAGGGGUUCUGAGAGGAAGGUCCCCCACACUGGUACUGAGACACGGACCAGACUCCUACGGGAGGCAGCAGUGAGGAAUAUUGGUCAAUGGACGGAGGUCUGAACCAGCCAAGUCGCGUGAGGGAGGACGGCCCUACGGGUUGUAAACCUCUUUUGCGGGGGAGCAAAGUGCGCCACGCGUGGCGCAUUGCGAGUACCCCGAGAAAAAGCAUCGGCUAAUUCCGUGCCAGCAGCCGCGGUAAUACGGAAGAUGCGAGCGUUAUCCGGAUUUAUUGGGUUUAAAGGGUGCGCAGGCGGCGCGUCAAGUCAGCGGUCAAAGUUCCGGGCUCAACCCGGUGAUGCCGUUGAAACUGGCGUGCUUGAGUUCGUGGGAGGAAGGCGGAAUGCGCGGUGUAGCGGUGAAAUGCAUAGAUAUCACGCAGAACCCCGAUUGCGAAGGCAGCCUUCCAUCACGCCACUGACGCUGAGGCACGAAAGCGUGGGGUAUCGAACAGGAUUAGAUACCCUGGUAGUCCACGCAGUAAACGAUGAUAACUAGUUUUCCGCUCCGAUUGGGG